AUGAACGCUAGCUACAGGCUUAACACAUGCAAGUCGAGGGGCAUCAGGAAGAAAGCUUGCUUUCUUUGCUGGCGACCGGCGCACGGGUGAGUAACACGUAUCCAACCUGCCCUUUACUCGGGGAUAGCCUUUCGAAAGAAAGAUUAAUACCCGAUAGCAUAAUGAUUCCGCAUGGUUUCAUUAUUAAAGGAUUCCGGUAAAGGAUGGGGAUGCGUUCCAUUAGGUUGUUGGUGAGGUAACGGCUCACCAAGCCUUCGAUGGAUAGGGGUUCUGAGAGGAAGGUCCCCCACAUUGGAACUGAGACACGGUCCAAACUCCUACGGGAGGCAGCAGUGAGGAAUAUUGGUCAAUGGGCGCUAGCCUGAACCAGCCAAGUAGCGUGAAGGAUGAAGGCUCUAUGGGUCGUAAACUUCUUUUAUAUAAGAAUAAAGUGCAGUAUGUAUACUGUUUUGUAUGUAUUAUAUGAAUAAGGAUCGGCUAACUCCGUGCCAGCAGCCGCGGUAAUACGGAGGAUCCGAGCGUUAUCCGGAUUUAUUGGGUUUAAAGGGAGCGUAGGUGGACUGGUAAGUCAGUUGUGAAAGUUUGCGGCUCAACCGUAAAAUUGCAGUUGAUACUGUCAGUCUUGAGUACAGUAGAGGUGGGCGGAAUUCGUAGUGUAGCGGUGAAAUGCUUAGAUAUCACGAAGAACUCCGAUUGCGAAGGCAGCUCACUGGACUGCAACUGACACUGAUGCUCGAAAGUGUGGGUAUCAAACAGGAUUAGAUACCCUGGUAGUCCACACAGUAAACGAUGAAUACUCGCUGUUUGCGAUAUACAGUAAGCGGCCAAGCGAAAGCAUUAAGUAUUCCACCUGGGGAGUACGCCGGCAACGGUGAAACUCAAAGGAAUUGACGGGGGCCCGCACAAGCGGAGGAACAUGUGGUUUAAUUCGAUGAUACGCGAGGAACCUUACCCGGGCUUAAAUUGCAGUGGAAUGAUGUGGAAACAUGUCAGUGAGCAAUCACCGCUGUGAAGGUGCUGCAUGGUUGUCGUCAGCUCGUGCCGUGAGGUGUCGGCUUAAGUGCCAUAACGAGCGCAACCCUUAUCUUCAGUUACUAACAGGUCAUGCUGAGGACUCUGGAGAGACUGCCGUCGUAAGAUGUGAGGAAGGUGGGGAUGACGUCAAAUCAGCACGGCCCUUACGUCCGGGGCUACACACGUGUUACAAUGGGGGGUACAGAAGGCAGCUAGCGGGUGACCGUAUGCUAAUCCCAAAAUCCUCUCUCAGUUCGGAUCGAAGUCUGCAACCCGACUUCGUGAAGCUGGAUUCGCUAGUAAUCGCGCAUCAGCCACGGCGCGGUGAAUACGUUCCCGGGCCUUGUACACACCGCCCGUCAAGCCAUGGGAGCCGGGGGUACCUGAAGUACGUAACCGCAAGGAUCGUCCUAGGGUAAAACUGGUGACUGGGGCU
rnacentral:rRNA from 1 species